CCUGGAAAGGUGGAAAGGCAGUCAGAGAAUCAUCCUCCAGCAUCUUCCAUUCAGAACCCAACCAGGACCAACAGCAACAUGGAGUUCUCCAGCGCCUCCGUGCUUGACACCUCAGAUACAGCCUGCAGCUGAGGGGGAUCUUAGCCACGGUAGAGGUCACUUGUAGCAAUUAAGCCAUUUGCCAAGAUGCUGCGGAUGGGGCCUCACAGCAUGAGGGGCAGCAGACAGAGUACAAGAAGUAUCCAUGAAGCCAAGACCAAGGAAGGAGGGAGGAGAGAGCUGCGGCAGAAAUGCAGAAUGUCACAGACAGAGCGGGAAUGUGGCAGGCAAGGUCAGGGUGAUGAGGACUGCGGACCAGUGUGCAAAGGCUUAGCCUUGAACUCUGCCUUUAUGCCUUCAGUCUCUUUAAUUCAGUCAUAAUUUAAUUAAACCAGCCAGGGUUCUUCAGGCUGUCUUGAGUAAGCUUUGUCUUCACCUGAUCUUGUUUUAACAAUGAGUCCUAAAGAACCAGUUAUGUGAAUCUACCAAACCUGAACUCCCAAGUCCUUUUCCUUCACCCCAACACUAACCAACCUCAGCCGCUCUCACCCAUUCUUUCAGUCUGCCUGUGCCUAGAAACCCCCACUUGUUAGCCUCAAAUGCAGACCUGAGUUUACUCUCUGCCCUCAACUGCAACUGUGUUUAACGGGGUCUCCCUUCAUGUCUGGGCUGCUCGUUAUAUGAACUCACCUGUCUACACUGCUCGUUGUAAAAGAUGUCGGCUAACCACGUGUUGUGUAAUGUGGUUAUGACAUCGCAUGACAUUUUAUGACAUUGUGUAGUCAUAUAAAAAAGAUGUGCUACUCAAUUAUCUUACUUUAUAGACAAAAACCAGAGGGUUUGAGCUCAGUGGGUGGGACACACCUGUACUCCCAGCACUUGCAGGCUGAGGCAGGAGGACUGCGUUUGAGUGUAGUAGAAAGGAAACAGGCUGUGAGAAGUAAAUUCUACUGAUGCUUAUGAAGCACCUGUGAUAUGCAGAGCUCUGUGAGGACCACACAGGAGACCAACCUCUCUAUAACCUAGGACCCUUGGCAGCAGGGCUCACACUGAUGACUGUGGUGACCACCGUCAGCCAUACUGGUUCCCUGGUGCCCUGCAGUACUCACAUGAUGCCACAUGGCUCCAUGCAGCCCCACACAGAACAAGGGAGGGCAUUAACUACCCUGUCUGAUGACUUGUGUACCAGCGCCCUCCAAAUUUAAACCUGCACUUCUAACUAUGACUCCAGGGGCAGUUAGCAAAGGACUUCUAGGUUCUACUGAAAAAACCCAUUGCUUCAUCACACUUGUUAUCUUUCUCACCUGUCCACAACCACAGCAUGUGGGGAUUUAAAAAAUAAAAAAUGGCCCACUUAGUCAUCUCUCCAGCCUUUUCUUUUCUUUUCUGAGGCAGGGUUUCACCUUGUAUCCCUAGUUGAAACUCUGUAUCAACCAGGGGCCUGCUGCUCCUGCAGAGGAUCCAAGUUUAGUUUCACAACUGCAACUCCACUUCAUGGAGAUCUGACACCCUCCUCAGGCUUCUUCAAGCACCAGGCACACAUGGUGCACAUAUCAUGCAGAUAAACACUAACACAUGUAAAACAAAUCCUUAAAACAGUCAACACUUACGAAUAGGCUCUCAGUAGCUCAUACAAAUGAGAUGUUUACAUGUUGAAGUGUUUGAAUGAAAAUGUCCCCCUAGGCCCCUAGGCAAUGGCACUAUUGGAAGGUGUGGCCUUGCCGGAGUCGAUGUGGAGAAAGUCUGUCACUGGGGGUAGUUUGAGGUUUCACAACCUCAAGCCAGGUUCACUGUCACUCUGUCUUUCUGCUGCCUUCAGUUUGGGAUGUAGAACUCUCAGCUCCUCCAGCACCAUGACUGCUUGCAAACCACCAUGCUUGCUACUGUGACAAUAAUGGACUAUACCUGGGAACCUGUAAGCCAGUCCCAAUUCAAUAUUUUCUGUUAUGAGUUGCUAUGGAGUCUCUUCACAAAAACAAAACUCUAAGACACAUAAAGGCUCGGUGGUUAAAAGCACCUGCUGCUUGCUUUUCUGAAGGUCCUGAGGUCCAUUCCCAGCACCCACUUGGCAGCUCACAACUGAAUGAGUGAAUGAAUGCAUGAAUCAGGGCUUCCCUUUCAUUUCUGUUAAUGGCAUUUUUUUUUCUUUUUUCUUUUUUUCUAUUUUCUUUUUUUUUUUUUUUUUUUUUUUUACAAAAACAGAGUGAGCUUCUUGUUCAGUCAAGAGCUUUAAACAAUAGAUAGACCUGUUUCUGCUACACCUAUUUCUUGUACCCAAGGUCAGCUGGGUAUAAUUCUGAAUCUAAUUAGAAAUGCUUGUUUGGAGGCUGGAGAGAUGGCUCAGAGGUUAAGAGCACUGACUGCUCUUCCAGAGGUCCUGAGUUCAAAUCCCAGCAAACACAUGGUGGCUCACAACCAUCUGUAAUGAGAUCUGAUGCCCUCUUCUGGUGUGUCUGAAGAUAGCUACGGUGUUCUUACAUAUAGUAAAUAAAUAAAUCUUAAAAAAAAAAAAAAAGAAAUG